rnacentral:tRNA from 1 species
AGCGGGGUAGAGUAAUGGUCAACUCAUCAGGCUCAUGCCCUGAAGAUCCAGGUUCGAAUCCAGGUCCCGCCU